GCCCUUGUAGCUCAGUCGGUAGAGCGCGUCCUUGGUAAGGACGAGGUCGGCGGUUCAAGUCCGCUCGAGGGCUCCA
rnacentral:tRNA from 1 species